rnacentral:rRNA from 1 species
AUGUACCCAGGUCAUUUCCAUGUGUUGGAGGCUCGCUUACGUCUCUGGGAUAUUAAAUAUAUUAUGUGCAAAUCAGGUGCUGAUGCUGGCUCUGGGAGGGGUACGAGGGGGCAGAACAAGAGUUGUUGUGUUAACAAUGCAGUGACAGGGGAUGGGACACCUUGCGAUGUGCCUGAAGCCUUGAUGCAAUAUGACCGCAAUGAUGUUGCUGGACAAUCAGACAUCCAUGAGCAUGAGGAUGAAGUGGGUAGGGGAUUGUGCGUGAUGUCAGGCUGGAUGAGGAGUAACCUAAGGUUGCAGAUAGGCAUGGUCAGGACAUCGUGA